GCACCGAGAUUUAUUACUAGGAUGGACACCAGCGAACGACGGCAAACCCGGCUUUCGGCCCCUCCUAAGGGGUAGGUCGCACGUUCGAUUCGUGUUCGGGGCGCCA
rnacentral:tRNA from 1 species